UCGUAUGAUGACUGACAACCCAGGGUUAAGGAGAAGGAGCGUCUCCAAGGGAGCCCUGCUCUAUCCUGAGGGCAG